rnacentral:sRNA from 1 species
GGCUGUAAGUGUGGUGGCCCAUCUGGGCUCUCGCCUGCAGGCAUUCUCCCCGGCCUUGUGUCGUCCAUUUAGUUGCGCACAGGAGGUGCUCCGCCGGACACCGCUGUAUGACUUCCACCUGGCCCACGGCGGGAAAAUGGUGGCGUUUGCGGGUUGGAGUCUGCCAGUGCAGUACCGGGACAGUCACACUGACUCGCACCUGCACACACGCCAGCACUGCUCGCUCUUUGACGUGUCUCAUAUGCUGCAGACCAAGAUACUUGGUAGUGACCGGGUGAAGCUGAUGGAGAGUCUAGUGGUUGGAGACAUUGCAGAGCUAAGACCAAACCAGGGGACACUGUCGCUGUUUACCAACGAGGCUGGAGGCAUCUUAGAUGACUUGAUUGUAACCAGUACUUCUGAGGGCCACCUGUAUGUGGUGUCCAACGCUGGCUGCUGGGAGAAAGAUUUGGCCCUCAUGCAGGACAAGGUCAGGGAGCUUCAGAACCAGGGCAGAGAUGUGGGCCUGGAGGUGUUGGAUAAUGCCCUGCUAGCUCUGCAAGGCCCCACUGCAGCCCAGGUACUACAGGCCGGCGUGGCAGAUGACCUGAGGAAACUGCCCUUCAUGACCAGUGCUGUGAUGGAGGUGUUUGGCGUGUCUGGCUGCCGUGUGACCCGCUGUGGCUACACAGGAGAGGAUGGUGUGGAGGUGUGUCAAGAAGUGGUGUAGGGGGCAGUACAGGGCACAAGAUGCAUGUGAGGGGUUGGGGGUAUGUGGUACAGGGAGCUUCCCAUCUGCCCUCUGGUGUUUCAUACAGAUCUCGGUGCCGGUAGCGGGGGCAGUUCACCUGGCAACAGCUCUUCUGAAAAACCCAGAGGUGAAGCUGGCAGGGCUGGCAGCCAGGGACAGCCUGCGCCUGGAGGCAGGCCUCUGCCUGUACGGGAAUGACAUUGAUGAACACACUACACCUGUGGAGGGCAGCCUCAGUUGGACACUGGGGAAGCGCCGCCGAGCUGCUAUGGACUUCCCUGGAGCCAAAGUCAUUGUUCCCCAGCUGAAGGGCAAGGUGCAGCGGAGGCGUGUGGGGUUGAUGUGUGAGGGGGCCCCCAUGCGGGCACACAGUCCCAUCCUGAACAUGGAGGGUACCAAGAUUGGUACUGUGACUAGUGGCUGCCCCUCGCCCUCUCUGAAGAAGAAUGUGGCGAUGGGUUAUGUGCCCUGCGAGUACAGUCGUCCAGGGACAAUGCUGCUGGUAGAGGUGCGGCGGAAGCAGCAGAUGGCUGUAGUCAGCAAGAUGCCCUUUGUGCCCACAAACUACUAUACCCUCAAGUGAAGCUGGCUCAGGGUGGGGCUGUCCCUUCCAGAAGUUUUGCCCCUACAAGGGGUUAGUCAAGAAGCUGAGGCAGAACUCACUGGGGGUGGGCAGUUAAGGUGGAGGCUGAUUCUAAUUGUCUGGCUGAGGGGCCACACCACCUAUUCCCCCCACCUAACUCAUGCCACUCCAGCUUCCUUCAGGACCCUGCUUCUGAGUGACGGACCAGCUCACACAAUGUCUUGUUUCAGUCCAUGAUCCCACUGACCUACUCUUGCCUGCUGGAGGGUAAUGAGAAGCUUUGGUUCUGCCAUCUCUCCCACUCUGCCAGGUGCUGGCUGUGGAGCAAAGGCUCACCUUUGUGGGGAGGAUAAAACCUGCCCAACCUACCUCACCAUGGUUUUUCACAUUGCAAACGGUAAUAACAUGGGCAGUGUGGACUUAGGCUACCCCCUCCAGUUUGCUUUCCGUAAAUGCAAAUUGUCCCUACUGCAAGUCAGGAAUGAUUGCCGACUCACAGUAGGGCUGCUAUGCCUGUGUGUAAACUUGGGGAUGGCUGAGGGAACACAGACUCACUCUUCCGCAUUCCCAAGUUGGUCUAGUGUGCUGCCCAGUAGCAAACCAUGGCAGGCUCACCACCUAUUCUGAGCUCCAGGGCUGUUGUAGGGCAGGGUGGGCUUCCUCCCAGACUUGCCUUACC